rnacentral:rRNA from 1 species
GACGAACGCUGGCGGCGCGCUUAACACAUGCAAGUCGAGCGAAGCGGCGGACGGGUGAGUAACACGUGAGUAACCUGCCUUAGACAUUGGGAUAGCCUCGGGAAACCGGGAUUAAUACCAAAUGGUCUAAGAUGGACUCGCGUCCCAUUAGCUAGUUGGUGAGGUAACGGGCCACCAAGGGGACGAUGGGUAGCCGGCCUGAGAGGGUGAACGGCCACAUUGGAGCUGAGCAACGGUGCAAACUCGACGGGAGGCAGCAGUGGGGAAUAUUGCACAAGGGAGGGAACUCUGAGGCAGCGACGCCGCGUGAACGAAGAAGGCUUUCGAGUCGGAAAGUUCUUUUAUAUGGGAAGCGGUACCAUAAGAAAAAGCCCCGGCUAACUACGUGCCAGCAGCCGCGGUAAUAC